GAAUUUUAUGUGAUUAUUUAAAUGUCAUGGAAGAAAAUGGGAAUCACUAGAAAUAUGCGUUUACUUGGAGAUUUCCCCGUGGAAAGCUUCCAGGCCAUGGAGAGAAACUUUCCAUUUGCUCUCAGCUCUUGACAUGAUUUACCUCACAGGCCCAGAUCAUUGACGCCAACCAACCAUGAGAACAACCGAAGAAGACCCUUUCCCUUGAAACCCAGAUACAAGAAACCAGCUUGAAUCUGUGCCAGUCUGGGACUAGUUGAGCUCUGCCAACUUAUUACUGACCUGCAGACAGCCUUUGCAGUUCACAUGAAGCCCACAGCUGUAUGUGGUACCUAGAGUCUUAUCCACCACCGAAAGAGCUAAUGACUCAACUCAGGAGUGUGCUGCAUUGUCCUGGAUUAAUCUCUGAUCAUAGGAAGCAGAAGGUGGGUGGGAGAAAGUAAACACCCCUUCCUCUUCUGCUGCUCACGCGCUAUCCCAACCACAGAACUACAUAGCUUAUUUGGAGAAGCCUUGAAUGGCCCAGCAGAUACUUCUGUCAAGUGACCUGUGCUUUUUAUAGCUUAUUCGGAAGCAGUGAGUGUCCAGCAUUGGCAACAGAUCAUUCUGUAUGGCUCUCCAUUCCUCCUUGACUCAUUGUCUUUCACCUUGAGUUCCUGCCCAACUUCUUGUGAUGCUGAAUCAUGGAGUGGAAGUGUAAAGCAGGUGUCUUCCUUGGCUUUCAGUCACAUUUGUGGCUUCGUUUCCUUUAGUUGUUGUGGAAGGGGCUGUGAUCUGAACUUGUCACCACUGAAACUGAGGAGAGGAUUCCCUUACACAUGGAUUCACUGAAGGUGUAAGGUGCUCAGCUGAGUUAAAAGAACUCAGGCCGUCAGAUGGGUAAGCCUUAUUGCACAGUAGUGAGUGAUUAUUCAGUUGCAACUCCACAGAGAGAUCCCGGACCAGCAUCAAUGAGGUGGGUUGUAACCAGAACUUCAGAAUUCGUUCUAUAGAUUUUGGAUAAUUAUAUCUCAUUUCUGUGGAAAACUGAAUAGCUUUUAAAAGCAGAUUGAAAAUGGACCUCCCCAACACAUCCAUGCUUAAGGCUUUGAAGAAGUUCAACAUAAGACAAGAGAUACUUGUCAGAUAGUGAUAACGUCAAGGAAGCUGAGAAGGGAGGUUACCCUGAAUUUGCCAGUGGGCCAAGUAUACUGACCAGAGUUGCUGUUCGAGGGAAGCUGGAGAUUUGGAGUAAGGAAAUCAUCAAAAUGAAGAGAAAUGUUUGAAGAUGCCACACUGGUGACUUUGAAGUGGGAGGAUGGAGCCAUAAGCUAGGGCAGUGGAAAGCCUCGAGAAUCCAGAAAAAGUAAGGAGAUGGACGUUCCCUCUGAAAUUUCUAUAAGAUUUUAGAAGAGCAGGGUACAGGUGCUAAGAGGUGAGAGACAGAAUGAGAAGGAAGGGGCUCCAACUAGGGAGCAGGGAGGAAGGGCAAUACAGUGGGAGGAGGAGGAAAGAGACAGGGAACAUUAAGGUUGCUUGAUAAAGCUCCAGAGAAAGCAUGUUAUUUUAUAUUUACCCCCAAAUUAUGCAACACACACAGUAUACAUACAUGCAUGCAGGAAACACCAUUACAUACAAAAUAAUCAAGUAAAUUUAAAAAAUGUGCUUGCUAGAUAAACAUGGGGUCUUGAGUUCUAACCCUAGCACCCUUGGAAAAGAAGCUGGACAUGACUAUGUAGAUAUACAAUCUCAUCACAGUGAGGAGUGGAGACAGGAGAAUUAUUGGGGAUCACUGACCACCAAUCUAGUUCUAGGGUUAACGAGAGAUCCCUGUUUCAAGGAAGUAAGGUAAAAAUGAUGGUAGAGUAGGAAACCUGACAGCCUUCUCUGGCCUCUGCAUGUGCACCUGUAAAUGUGCACACACACACACACACUCACACACACACACACACACACACACGUACACAUGCUAAACAAACAAAUGAGUGCAUAGUUAAAUUGAAAGGCUCUGGACUAUUCUUCUAGAGACACUCUUUACAUUGCUUCUAUAUUCCUGUGACAGCAAAGAGAAAUGAACUCCAAGGUAUAGAAUAAGCCUUAUUUUAAACCUCAAAUUUUAACCAUGCUGAAAAAGCAUUUCCACAUGUCUAGUUGCAUCCACCUUCUUUAAACAUUUGUAUCUCUGCCUUUCUUUGCUUUGCCUGAUUAAAAUAGUGUUAAGAUAAUUGUGUGAAGUUGGAUGGUAGAAGGAAAAAUAAACACAAUUAAAAAGAUUUUGAUUCCGUAUGUCAUAUGUCUAUGAAACUUCUGGGUCUAGACUAAAUAUAUAUCUUUGUCAGCAAUUUAUUUGAGAUUAUUGAAAAUCUAUAGGUUAAACAAUCUUGAAAACAUCCUUUGUUUUCUUGAGACCAAGUCUUGCUGUGUUUCCCAGUGUCUUAGUUAUUUUGCUAUUGCUGUGAAGACACCAUAACCAAGGCAACUUAUUGAAGAAAGUUUAUUUGUGCUGGUUUACAGUUUCAGAGGAUGAGUCUGUGACCAUCGUGGCAGGGAGCAUGGCAGCAGGCAGGCAGCCAUGGCACUGGAGCAGUGGCUGAUCCACAAGGAGGAGGCAGAGAGCUCUUGGGAAGGACAUGAGCUCUUGAACUCUCAAUGUUGCUGCCCCCACCCUCUGCAGUGAAUCAUCUCUUUCAUUUAAGCCCUCCUAGUUCUUCCUAAACAAUUCCAUUAACUGGUGUCUUAGUCAGGGACUCUAUUCCUGCACCAACAUCAUGACCAAGAAGCAAGUUGGAGAGAGAGAAGAGUUUAUUCAGCUUACACUUCCACAUUGCUGUUCAUCACCAAAGAAAGUCAGGACUGGAACUCAAACAGGUCAAGAAGCAGGAGCUGAUGCAGAGGCCAUGGAGGGAUGUUACUUACUGGCUUGCUUUCCCUGGCUUGCUCAGCUUGCUUUAAUUAUUGAACCCGAGACUAUCAGCCUAGGGAUGGCACCACCCACAAUGGGCUGGGCCCCCCCACCCUUGAUCACUAAUUGGGGAAAUGCCUUACAGCUGGAUCUCAUGGAGGCAUUUUCUCAAGGGAGGCUCCUUUCUCUGUGAUAACUCCAGCUUGUGUCAAGUUGAUACACAAAAGCAGCCAGUACAACUGGUGAUCAAGUAUUCUAACAUAUAAGCCGGUGAAGGUUGUUCCCAUUUAAAUCACCACAUCCAGGUUAGCCUCAAACCCUCAAUCCUCCUGCCUCAGGUUAGGCAUAGUGGACAUUAACAUGCCAAGCUAAGUAGUUUGUUAGUUUAUUUAUUUAUUUAUUUAUUUAUCAUUUAUUUAGGCUGACCUAAAGUGCAAGAUCUGAAUCCUGGGAUUGAAGGCAUUUAACACCAAACAAAAAUAUAUUAUCACCCAUACCUUAAGCAACACCAUGAGACCCUCCAAAGGGGAAUUACAGCUUAUUUUCGAGGCUUCCUGCCCUUCCUCUGGCCUCACCUCCUCCUUUGUCAUCUAUCUUCCUGGCUUGUGCAGAGAGGACCCUAGCAUGGAAGAGCUUCAUAAACAAGACCUCGCUGCCCUUGGACUUCUACUUCUGUUGAUGUUACUGGCCACACACUCCCAGCCUGGAUGGCUAUACUCAAAGCCUGCCAAGGAUGGGCAGCUUUAGAAGGGAAGCUGAGAUAAGUUUUCUGUCUUUACUGAAAUGUGAAGACGUCCAGCCCAGAUAAGAUUUGCCUCUGUGUGGUCUAAUUGGUAUAGCCCCAGAACCUCAUGAGCAAGUAAUCUAAAUCUCGUUCAUUUAAACAAUGUGAAUAUAUAUCAUCUCAAUGACCAGUGAGUGUCAACUUCCUCCAUCCUUAUUCUGGUUCACUAUAUAAGAAACUUGCAUUUGGGAAAUGUGGAACAGAGUAACUGUUUCUGUGGUCCACCUCUGGCUUCUCCCAGAUGAUCUAUCCAAUUAGAGUAUUUCACUCGACUGUAAAUUUUCAGCAAAUAAAGAUUUAAAAUUUAAACUUAAGUAUCUAACUGGACUCAGAUAUGCCAAGGGUAGGCAAUCUGCUUUUAGUUACUUGAUUUAAAAGAUUGUUUUGAAAUGUAUUUUAUUUUUAAACUAAUAUUUAUGGAUAGAUUAUCCUUUAACAUUACUCCCUCUUUCAAAGCUUCUAGAAGAUGCAGACAUUUCCCCCUCCUGGACCAUGACGGGUGGUGGGAAUCCAGGGUUCACAACGUGACCAUCCUGGCACCCGCUUCUCCUUUGCCUAAGGUGCCUCACCCAGCUCUGCGUGCACAACGCGCCCUCAGCUUCACCUAAGUCUUGAAAGACUUUUCGGGUUAUGACAUUCCCCUAAAUGUGCUGAGCUUUCCUUAACCUUUCAUAAAACAUUGUGAUCUUUAUGGACUGUAUCAUAUUGUGCAGUAAUGUGCUUUAUUGUGCACAGAAUAAGCUUUUCUUAAAGAUAAUUGGAAAGCUGGAAAUGGCUGCUAUCGGCCGAUUUUUUAAAAAAAUACAUUAUUUCUGAAAUAGGGCUGGUGUAAUAAUGACCCUAUCUGUUCAAGAUUUAAGAUUUGUCUUGGCAGAGAAAAUUGAUCCAUUUCACCUUUGUCUAAUGGAAAUUUUUAUCUAGGAUUAUCUGUUUAUGUAAAUGAAUGUCCCUGUGAAGAGGGAACUUGAGGAGGCUGUAAAUCUUGGUGACACCUCAGUUUCAUAGGGGAGAAAUUGGAAAGGAUUCUAGUAUUUAUCUGCCCGAAAUUGGUUAUAAAAACAAAAUUAUCUUCGUGUACCUGCAGCAUCUGAUGUUUUCUGAAAUUUCAUUAUAUUUCUGAAUAAUUCAGGGAGCCGUGGGAAUAGUGUUUUGACAUGACCUCAAUCGCAAAUUGUUUUUACUUUUAAAAUUUUAUAGUCACCUGCUAAUGUGCUUCCUUUCCUGCCUCUUUAAGGGUGAGAGUGUUUUCUACACCGUUGUAGGAGUCUUCAGCCACGAUAGGCUCAUUAUCUGUGGGUAAAUGAAGUAACUGUAUUAGCAGAAUAUCUACCAAUUUUCUCUCUAAAAAUAUCACAGCUACUAUACAUUCUAUCUGUGGGCCAAAAUCCUGGGGGUCUGAAUCAUAAUUGCUGUACAUUUAAACAAUGUCUUUUCAUGGCGACUGUUGGGCCACACUGACUUGCUCUCAUAUGGUAGUGGAAGUUGCCAUGUAACAACUUUACAAAGGUAACAGCAUGUGACACAUUCUUUUUCUUCAAGUCAAAGAGAAAAACAAAGAAAGGCCUAAAAGAAAUAUUGACUCAUGUUACUUCUUGCUUCCUUCUUUGAAAAUAUAUGUGUAGUUUCUUUCUAGGGACUGCUAACUUCAUUAUCCAAUGCCUGGUGGUGGUCCACUGUCUUUGUUCCUUUAGCAGCCAUUGUCUCUGAGUCCCCCCCAUUUACAUAAUAUCUGAACUAUUUCAUCAGGACUCAAAUAAACAGUAUUAUGUUGCAUUGAAGCUGAUGUAAAUAUAAUAUUUAAUGGUGGGACACAGGGACUGAAAAUUGUCCAGAACUUGGAGUUUUCUUUCCUGUCUUUUUAAGGAUGAGAUUCUUUCCCAAUAAGCAGUGUGGAGUGAGCAGCCAGAAGUGGUGUUGGCUGUCGGGAUUAUCAACUAUACCAUCGUUAUGCCUGCAGACAUGUGUUUUGUUGCUAUCAGUAGGUUCAACAAAAUUGACAAAACUAAAAAAUAAAUGCUAUUUUGGAAACUCA